CAGGAUUGUCUGCUGACCAGAAGCAGAAGGAAAUUAUUUCAGUGGCUUCUUAGACAAGCUUUGUGAGAGAAAACACAUGGUUAUCUGCAGAGUUGUAAGUGAAAGAAAUGUCACUCAAGACACAUACCGAUGGUAACUCCUUCUUUUAGCAGACAAUAAAGUGUCCAGAAUCAAAUAAAUAAGGGUCAUCUGACUCCCAAAGAACACGGCCAGAGUGCUCAUAAGAUCCGAAGAAGCUGAGUCAGAUCAUUUCCAAAGGACAAAUGUAGUGCUCCUCCAAAAUCAGUGACUUGUGGAAUGUAGCAAUCUUGCCGUGUAUUUUCUCGGAGCCAAGCAGCCUGGUUCUGUCAAGUCCAUCUUUCAUCCCCUUCGCCUUCCGCCAAGUAUUAGUGUUUUCCUUGUUAGAAGAAGAAUUUAUGAAUUCCUCCAUUAAAAUGGAACUGAGUCUAUGAAAAUAAAGUUGAUCUUUGAU